UUAAAAACCAUGGUUAUGUUGUGCGACCAUAUAGGAUUGCAAUAAGGUCAUAAUGUAGUAAUUUAAGAAUUAGGUUAGAAUCAUUAUUAUAAUCUGUUUUGGUUGCCAAAUAAGAAAUAAAUAAAUAAAAUAAUGAAGAAUUAUGAUAUUUCAUCAGAAUUU